GCCCCGCCCUGCCCUGGCUUGCUGGGCUGUCUGGAGAGGAUGGCACUUUCCCUGGGCCUCGGCUCCCGCACCUGCCAAAGGAAGUCCGGAUUCUCCAGCACCACUGCUUUACGUCGCUGCGGUUAAAGGUGGGCUGCAGCCGAGGGGCUUUGGUGGCCAUCAACAGAAACCACCGCAGGCCAGCAGCAGCCAAGGGGGUCUUCACUGGAAAACUGUCAGGGAUUAUGCAAACAGUGGCUGAGUCAGGGCCUGCCCUUAGGGAAUGUAGCAGUCAACACCAUGGACGACAGUCCCUAGUGGAGCCUUCCUCCUUAUUUCCAUUUUCUCAACAAGGACAGGCAUUCUCAGGGGGGAAGUGACCUGCCUGGGGCAAUUGUGCUACAACAGCAGGUACGGGAGGUGGCCCCCCAUCCUGUCCCUCAUUGUGUCUACCCUGCACCGGCCCGCCACUGGCCAAAAUGUCUCCCUGCUCUCAGGCUGAGCAAAGUCUUUCGGGGAAUUAUUUUCUCUGCAACUUGGGUCCUUCCCUUCCGGUUAGAUGGACAUCACUGCCGACUGAGAGGAGAAGCACGCCCCCAGAACUCCGGGUUGGAAGGGAGACAGACACCAUCUGCCUCCCGUUACAUACUCCCACCGACGGGAGACUCACCACCUAGAAUGCAGAGCUUGGCUGGGGGGUUCGGUACCACAAGGUCUAGUUCACGCAGAGCACAUGUGUUCCCUGUCCCCACAUGAGCGCAGACCCAUAAACAGUGCUGUCUACCCGUGGGCACUUUCGUGUUCCAGGCUCCAGAACGGUCCAGCCAUUUACGUAACUGUGGCAAUACGAGAGCCUGGUUGUUUUAUGACAAUCGCUAAGCAACGCAAGUGGGAACCAUUUGGCUAAAGUAUAAACAACCGAAUUCCAGUGAAAUGGUACUUGUUAGAAAUUCCUUUAUGAAACAUAAAGUGUCAGGUUAAUUUAUUUGAUAA